AGCGGCGAAAGGGAGAGUAACGCGUGGUUACGUGCCCUCGAGACCGGGACAGUGUCGGGAAACUGGCAGUAAUUCCGGAUAAUAUCUUCGGAUCAAAUGGUGUGAUUCCGCUCGAGGAUCGGACCGCGUACUAUUAGCUUGUUGGCGGGGUAACGGCCCACCAAGGCUGCGAUGGUUACCGGGUGUGAGAGCAUGGCCCGGCUCACUGGGACUGAGACACUGCCCAGACAUCUACGGAUGGCUGCAGUCGAGAAUCUUCGGCAAUGGACGAAAGUCUGACCGAGCGACGCCGCGUGCGGGAUGAAGGCCCUCGGGUUGUAAACCGCUGUCAGUUAGGAGGAAAUCCAUGGGGGUUCUCCCCUGUGGUUGACCGAUUUUCAGAGGAAGGACGGGCUAAGUUCGUGCCAGCAGCCGCGGUAACACGAACCGUCCAAACGU
rnacentral:rRNA from 1 species